rnacentral:tRNA from 1 species
GCUUAAGUAUUUUAAUAAAAAUGUUGUUUUGUGGGAUCAAUGAUAUGGUUAUGUGUUACCAUCUUAGGCC